GGGAUUGGAAAUAGCAAUAUUACCAUGAGAGUGGCGCACGGGUGCGUAACACGUAUGCAAUCUGCCCCUAACUGGAAGAUAGCCCGGCGAAAGUCGGAUUAAUGUUCCAUAACAUUGCGAAACGGCAUCGUUUUGUAAUUAAAGCUCCGGCGGUUAGGGAUGAGCAUGCGCGACAUUAGCUAGAUGGCGAGGUAACGGCUCACCAUGGCUACGAUGUCUAGGGGGUCUGAGAGGAUUAUCCCCCACACUGGUACUGAGACACGGACCAGACUCCUACGGGAGGCAGCAGUAGGGAAUAUUGGGCAAUGGACGCAAGUCUGACCCAGCCAUGCCGCGUGCAGGAUGACGGCCCUAUGGGUUGUAAACUGCUUUUGUACAGGAAGAAACCCCUUUACGUGUAGAGGGCUGACAUUACUGUAAGAAUAAGGAUCGGCUAACUCCGUGCCAGCAGCCGCGGUAAUACGGAGGAUCCAAGCGUUGUCCGGAUUUAUUGGGUUUAAAGGGUGCGUAGGCGGACCAUUAAGUCAGAGGUGAAAGUUUGCAGCUUAACUGUAAAAUUGCCUUUGAAACUGGUGGUCUUGAGUACAGUUGAGGUGGGCGGAAUGUGUCAUGUAGCGGUGAAAUGCUUAGAUAUGAUACAGAACACCGAUUGCGAAGGCAGCUCACUAAACUGUAACUGACGCUGAGGCACGAAAGCGUGGGGAGCGAACAGGAUUAGAUACCCUGGUAGUCCACGCCCUAAACGUUGAAUACUCGUUGUUGGCGAUAUACAGUCAGCGACUAAGCGAAAGCAUUAAGUAUUCCACCUGGGGAGUACGACCGCAAGGUUGAAACUCAAAGGAAUUGACGGGGGCCCGCACAAGCGGAGGAGUAUGUGGUUUAAUUCGAUGAUACGCGAGGAACCUUACCUGGGCUUGAAAGUUAGCGACCGCUGC
rnacentral:rRNA from 1 species